UACGUAGGGUGCAAGCGUUGUCCGGAAUUAUUGGGCGUAAAGAGCUCGUAGGCGGUUUGUCGCGUCUGCUGUGAAAACUCGGGGCUCAACUCCGAGCUUGCAGUGGGUACGGGCAGACUAGAGUGCGGUAGGGGAGACUGGAAUUCCUGGUGUAGCGGUGGAAUGCGCAGAUAUCAGGAGGAACACCGGUGGCGAAGGCGGGUCUCUGGGCCGUAACUGACGCUGAGGAGCGAAAGCAUGGGGAGCGAACA
rnacentral:rRNA from 1 species